GGGUGUUUGGUCUAGUGGUAUGAUUCUCGCUUCGGGUGCGAGAGGUCGUGAGUUCAAUUCUCGCAACACCCC
rfam:Ipomoea nil DNA, scaffold: scaffold3056, cultivar: Tokyo-kokei standard.